AUCCUGGCUCAGGAUGAACGCUAGCGGCAGGCUUAACACAUGCAAGUCGAGGGGCAACGCGAGUAGCAAUACUCGGCGGCGACCGGCGCAAGGGUGCGUAACGCGUGAGCAACAUGCCCGUAUCAGGGGGAUAAUCCAGGGAAACUUGGUCUAAUACCCCAUAGUAAUUUUGUAAGGCAUCUUAUAAGAUUUAAAGCUUUGGUGGAUACGGAUUGGCUCGCGUGACAUUAGCUGGAUGGUAAGGUAACGGCUUACCAUGGCUAUGAUGUCUAGGGGUUCUGAGAGGAAGGUCCCCCACACUGGAACUGAGACACGGUCCAGACUCCUACGGGAGGCAGCAGUGAGGAAUAUUGGACAAUGGAUGGAAAUCUGAUCCAGCCAUGCCGCGUGAAGGAAGAAAGGUCCUAUGGAUUGUAAACUUCUUUUGUAUGGGAGCAAUAAGGCCUACGAGUAGGCUGAUGAGAGUACCAUACGAAUAAGCACCGGCUAACUCCGUGCCAGCCGCUGC
rnacentral:rRNA from 1 species